GAUGAACGCUAGCUACAGGCUUAACACAUGCAAGUCGAGGGGAAACGAUAGAGAAAGCUUGCUUUUUCUAGGCGUCGACCGGCGCACGGGUGAGUAACGCGUAUCCAACCUGCCCACCACUUGGGGAUAACCUUGCGAAAGUAAGACUAAUACCCAAUGAUAUCUCAAGAAGACAUCUGAAUGAGAUUAACGAUUUAUCGGUGAUGGAUGGGGAUGCGUGUGAUUAGCUUGUUGGCGGGGUAACGGCCCACCAAGGCGACGAUCAGUAGGGGUUCUGAGAGGAAGGUCCCCCAGAUUGGAACUGAGACACGGUCCAAACUCCUACGGGAGGCAGCAGUGAGGAAUAUUGGUCAAUGGGCGAGAGCCUGAACCAGCCAAGUAGCGUGCAGGAUGACGGCCCUAUGGGUUGUAAACUGCUUUUAUAAGGGAAUAAAGUGAGUCUCGUGAGACUUUUUGCAUGUACCUUAUGAAUAAGGACCGGCUAAUUCCGUGCCAGCCGCCGCAGUAA
rnacentral:rRNA from 1 species